GACGAACGCUGGCGGCGUGCUUAACACAUGCAAGUCGAACGGAAAGGCCCUGCUUUUGUGGGGUGCUCGAGUGGCGAACGGGUGAGUAACACGUGAGUAACCUGCCCUUGACUUUGGGAUAACUUCAGGAAACUGGGGCUAAUACCGGAUAGGAGCUCCUGCUGCAUGGUGGGGGUUGGAAAGUUUCGGCGGUUGGGGAUGGACUCGCGGCUUAUCAGCUUGUUGGUGGGGUAGUGGCUUACCAAGGCUUUGACGGGUAGCCGGCCUGAGAGGGUGACCGGACGCAGGGGCACGGGGGGGCGGCGACGGCCGGGGCUGGAGGGGGGAGGGGGUAGUAUUGCACGGUGGGGGGAAGCGGGGCGGGGGAGCGGGGGGGGGGGGGGGGCGGCCUUGGGGUUGGACUCCGUUUGGGGGGGUGGCGGAGGGGGAGGGGCGGUAAUGGGAAAAGAAGCGCGGGUAAAUGACGGGGCGGCGGCGGGGGUAAUAGGAGGAAGAGCAAACGUCGGAGC
rnacentral:rRNA from 1 species